rnacentral:rRNA from 1 species
GGAGGGAUCAUUACAGAGUUCAUGCCCUUCGGGGUAGAUCUCCCACCCUGUGUAUUAUUACCUUUGUUGCUUUGGCGGGCCGUUAGGCUUCGGCUUGGCUACCGGCUUCGGCUGGUAAGCGCCCGCCAGAGGACCCCAAACUCUAAAUUUUAAUGUCGUCUGAGUACUAUAUAAUAGUUAAAACUUUCAACAACGGAUCUCUUGGUUCUGGCAUCGAUGAAGAACGCAGCGAAAUGCGAUAAGUAAUGUGAAUUGCAGAAUUCAGUGAAUCAUCGAAUCUUUGAACGCACAUUGCGCCCUCUGGUAUUCUGGAGGGCAUGCCUGUUCGAGCGUCAUUACAACCCUCAAGCUCUGCUUGGUAUUGGGCAUCACCGGUCAAACGGUGUGCCUUAAAAUCAGUGGCGGUGCCAUCUGGCUCUAAGCGUAGUACAUCUCUCGCUCUAGGUGCCUGGUGGAUGCUUGCCAACAACCCCCAAUUUUUUAAGGUUGACCUCGGAUCAGGUAGGGAUACCCGCUGAACUUAAGCAUAUCAAUAAGCGGAGGAAAAGAAACCAACAGGGAUUACCUCAGUAACGGCGAGUGAAGCGGUAACAGCUCAAAUUUGAAAUCUGGGUCUUUUAGGCUCCGAGUUGUAAUUUGUAGAAGAUGCUUCGGGUGCGGCUCCGGUCUAAGUUCCUUGGAACAGGACGUCACAGAGGGUGAGAAUCCCGUAUGUGAUCGGCUGCUUGCGCCCAUGUGAAGCUCUUUCGACGAGUCGAGUUGUUUGGGAAUGCAGCUCAAAAUGGGUGGUAAAUUUCAUCUAAAGCUAAAUAUUGGCCAGAGACCGAUAGCGCACAAGUAGAGUGAUCGAAAGAUGAAAAGCACUUUGGAAAGAGAGUUAAACAGUACGUGAAAUUGUUGAAAGGGAAGCGCUUGCAACCAGACUUGCACGUUGUCGAUCAUCCGGUGUUCUCACCGGUGCACUCGAUUUCGUUCAGGCCAGCAUCGGUUUUGGUGGUUGGAUAAAGGCCUUGGGAAUGUAGCUUCUUUCGGGGAGUGUUAUAGCCCUCGGUGCAAUGCAGCCUACCGGGACCGAGGACCGC